CAGAGGCAUAAAAUCCCCACUUACAAAGAGUUGACAUCCUUCUAGCUCCAUAAUUCUCUCUGGGAAUUCAGACCCCUAGUCACUGGUGAUAUAUGAAAAGGGAGGAAAAGAUACAAGGCAAAAGGUUUUCUGGAACUCCUUUCCAAGCAAAUAGGCCACAAUCAAGGUGAAGCACUAAAGUGAAAAUAUAGACUGUGCUGUCACACAGAAAGAGUACUGGAAUCAAUCCCUAGGUGACCUGAUGAUUUUCAUGCAUAAGGCAAUUGAUGGAAAUUUUUCAUCUCUUCUUAUAUGGAACUUGAACUUGUAGUGGCUCCUUUGUUGAACGUGGAGUAGAAGAAAGAUCACAGGUUUUGAAAUCAGACAGGGAAUUAAUUUUGGAGAAAAACUCAAGAUGGUGCGUUUUUGUGAGCACUUGAACAUUACUGUAGUUUAUGAUGCAUGUAUGAUGACCUCCACUUCAUACACUAAAGCAAG